UUUCCGUAGGUGAACCUGCGGAAGGAUCAUUAAAGAGAAUAUGCCCUUCGGGGUAGAUCUCCCACCCUUUGUUUAUAUUACCUUUGUUGCUUUGGCAGGCCCGUCUUCGGACCACCCGCUUCGGCUGGUCAGUGCUUGCCAGAGGACCUAAAACUCUUAUUAUUAAUGUCGUCUGAUUACUAUAUAAUAGUUAAAACUUUCAACAACGGAUCUCUUGGUUCUG
rnacentral:misc_RNA from 1 species